AUUUGCAUAACCAUACUAUCUACAUAUAUAUAUCAUAAAAUGAUACUUUAAUCAUAAUGUGUUUGUUGCGAAUUAUUCGAAAUCAAUAACACACUAUUUUCUUAUUAACUGUAAGGGAAUCGUUUCUAAAUAAUUCAACCAAAGGAAAGAAUAAUGUCGUCGUUGAAUUUCAAAAAGAUUUCAACUCCACGUUUAGGUUAUCUAUUAAACAGGAAUACAUGAGGCAAAAGAUUCUAUCGAGCAUUUACAAAGUUGGUUAAAAGACAACAUAAACAGGUGCAGUUAAUAUAUUAAAGGUAAAUAUGAAAGAAGCAAUUAAACGAAGUAAUCAGGCAACAAAAAAUAGUGAUAGGCCGUAAUCACAAUGGAAAUACUGUUUGGAAUAUUUAUAUCCACAGUUAUUGAUUUCUUUGUCAAGUACUCUGAUCAUACCAAUGUUAAAUAUUUGGAUCCCAAAAAGACACCAUAAUACAAAAAUGUAUUGACAAAAAUAGUAUAAAGUAAAGGAAAUGUUUCUACAAGGAAUAUUUUGGGAAUGCUUCUGUGACCAUCAUUUGUGUUGAGACGCAUAUAUAUCGCACAAACAUUUUUUACUUUUGCUUAUAUUCACGCACUUUCUUAUAUUAUAAAAUGAGUUGCAGUGAAAUCAAAAUGUAUUCAAAUCUAUCAUUGCGCAAGGUGGUACACUCUUCGAGAAACAGAAGCAUUUUUUAAAGUAGUUGAAUAUACAUCUGUCUUAUGAAAAUUUAGCACUUGUUAUAGGUUUCUUCUAUCAGGUGCAAAUUUAUUUUGAAUUGAUAUUUUGCUUUGUACAUUGUACUUUGUUGGUCAUUUCAUGUCCAUUGAGCAAUUCUUCAUCCGGCACUCUUACGGCAUUUUUGAUGCCAACAUAGGUAGUUCAAAGUACUUAUAUAUGCUACCAUUGCCAAUGAUGAUGGGAGAAAAGACAUUAAUACAUUAGGAAAACUCUUAAAAGAACUGAAGAAAGCAUUAUCUACAGUCAAGGACGUGAAUUAUUUAGAAAACGAAUUAAAAUAGAAAAUCCAAAACAAUAAAUAAUAGAGAAAGAAUCGAAUCUUAACAGCAAAAUCAUGGAGAAAGAACAAUGAGUUAAAGGAUCAUUCACAAGACAUUUUUCUUCAGAG